rnacentral:rRNA from 1 species
GACGAACGCUGGCGGCGUGCCUAAUACAUGCAAGUAGAACGCUGAAGGAGGAGCUUGCUUCUCUGGAUGAGUUGCGAACGGGUGAGUAACGCGUAGGUAACCUGCCUGGUAGCGGGGGAUAACUAUUGGAAACGAUAGCUAAUACCGCAUAAGAGUAGGUGUCGCAUGACAUUUGCUUAAAAGGUGCAAUUGCAUCACUACCAGAUGGACCUGCGUUGUAUUAGCUAGUUGGUGAGGUAACGGCUCACCAAGGCAACGAUACAUAGCCGACCUGAGAGGGUGAUCGGCCACACUGGGACUGAGACACGGCCCAGACUCCUACGGGAGGCAGCAGUAGGGAAUCUUCGGCAAUGGACGGAAGUCUGACCGAGCAACGCCGCGUGAGUGAAGAAGGUUUUCGGAUCGUAAAGCUCUGUUGUAAGAGAAGAACGAGUGUGAGAGUGGAAAGUUCACACUGUGACGGUAUCUUACCAGAAAGGGACGGCUAACUACGUG